rnacentral:rRNA from 1 species
CCUACGGGUGGCUGCAGUGGGGGAUAUUGCACAAUGGGGGGAACCCUGAUGCAGCGACGCCGCGUGGGUGAAGGAGUGCUUCGUCAUGUAAAGCUCUAUCGGCAGGGAAGAAGCAAGACGGUAGCUGACUAAGAAGCACCGGCUAACUACGUGACAGCAGCCGCGGUAAUACGUAGGGGGCGCGGGUUAUCCGGAUUCACUGGGGGUAAAGGGAGCGUAGACGGGCAUGCAGGCCAGGGGUGAACGCCUGGGGCCCAACCCCGGGACUGCCCUUGAAACUGCAUGGCUGGAGUGCGGGAGGGGCAGGCGGAAUGCCUGGUGUAGCGGUGAAAUGCGUAGAUAUCGGGAGGAACACCGGCGGCGAAGGCAGCAUGCUGGACCGCGACUGACGUUGAGGCUCGAAAGCGUGGGGAGCGAACAGGAUUAGAUACCCGUGUAGUC